rnacentral:lncRNA from 1 species
AGAAACUGACUUUGCAAUUUUGGUGGAAGACUCAAGGUAUUUGCAGGGACAAAAGUGGGGAACGGAGGUGGAGGCAGCCCACUGGCCCAAGCUUGGUACAUUUCCAUCAUUUGUUGUCUCAGUCUCAAAUUCUCUUCCUUUAAACUCUCAAUUUCCUAACUCUUUGUUUCAUCCAUGAUGUCACUCUCUAUAUCCUUGUUGGACACAACUAACCCUUCCUUGGAUUUGGUGUGAUGUGGAGGACCAGCCAGGAAGCCACAAACCAACCACCUUAAACUAACUGAACAAGAGGUAACAAAUAUGUUAGAGUUCAACAUUUUUUCUUCAAAAUCCC